UUUUUCUGGAGAUUUCUUCUUCUGGAGUUUUUCAGUGAACUCAAACAUGAGCCCAGAGAUCUGUAGGGAAAGAAAAAACCCAACGAAAACAAUGUCCAAAAAAACUCUACAUGGAAAAGAACAGAAAAUACCGUGCAUGAUCUGGCUCAGAUUUACCAGAAUUCAGUGAAGCUGAACAAAGAAGGGGAAGGAGAAAUGUCUUCUGUUUCAUUUGAAAAACAAACAAAAAGAUUCUGUAGAGUGAAAGUACCUGAAGACUGGAUCAGUAUCUAAGCAAACUGCCAAGUCUCCAAGACCAGAACGUGGGCAUGUGGCAGGAGCUGUAGUCUGCUUUAGUCUGCUUCUACAGGUUUUGUUGCUGCUGUUGGUUUUGUUCUUUCUCACCUCCUCAUCCAGCACUACCAAGCAACAUAUUUGUCUACCAUGUCUUGCUUGAAGUGAAAUCUGCUACAAUUUCCAUUAUCUACAUCUAAUAUAUGAGUAACAGAAAUAAUUGCAGUUCUGGUCUUGAGUAGAACUAAAACUCUCACUGAAAUCGUUGUACGAGUGUUUAUGAACUUCCCACAUUCAGCCUCACCAGCUCCUGAAGACUGGGGAAGAUUGUAGGCUUUCCUUGUGGAUUGGAACUGCCUCAUCACAUAUUCAGAAGUUUGUCUGUGUUAAUAUGCAUGAUCCUUUGCCAUGACAGAAAAUUUCUUGACAGCGACAAGGCACUUUGCUUAUGUGUAAUAGGAUGCUCUAUACACAGGCAAGAUGAUAUUCCUCGUACGUUGUAUAUUGACUUGUUUUAAGAACAAGUAAAUGAGAUUUGACAAAGAAUGUGAAAAAAUGUACUCUGGAAGAAUGAAGGAAAUGAAGUUAGCAUCGUGUCAUCAUAAAUCUUAGACUCUCUGUAUUCAAAUGCAAUCACUUGCCCCAGUAAAGAAAAUGUAUUAUUCAUGGCCUCAUACAUCUUGUAAAACGAUGUGAUUGGUUUAUUCAACAUUCUCUGACAAGAUCUUAUGCAGAAGUACAAAUAAACAAAAUAAUG